rnacentral:rRNA from 1 species
GGAUAGGCAUGCAGUCGAACGAAUCAGCCCUUGGAACCUUUGAAAGAGAUUUGAGUAGCAAUACGAUGAUCAAUUGAUGAGUGGAAAAGGUCCGCUGGUUAGUGGCAAACGGGGUAGUAACACGUGGGAACGUACCUGAAAGUCGUGAAUAAUGCAUCGAAAGGUGCACUAAUACACGAUAUCUCUUCGGAGGAAAGAUUUAUCGCUUUCAGAACGGCCUGCGGAGUAUCAGCUUGUUGGUAGUGUAAAAGACUACCAAGGCUAUGACGCUUAGGGGAGGUGAGAGCCUGACCCCCACCAUUGGAACUGCGACACGGUCCAAACACCUACGGGUGGCUGCAGUCAAGAAACUUCCGCAAUGCACGAAAGUGUGACGGAGCGACGCCGCGUGAUGGACGAAGCCCCUUGGGGUGUAAACAUCUUUUAUGAAUGAAGAAAUUUUUGACACUAGUUCAUGAAUAAGAGGCUCCUAACUCUGUGCCAGCAGGAGCGGUAAU